rnacentral:rRNA from 1 species
AACAAACGCUGGCGGCGUGCCUAAUACAUGCAAGUCGAACGGGGAAAGCUUUCGGGUGAGUACUAGUGGCGCACGGGGGAGGAACGCGUGGAUAAUCUGCCUUAGAGUGGGGGAUAAAUAGUCGAAAGAUUAGCUAAUACCGCAUAAGACCACAGGAGCUGCGGCUAAAGGGGUAAAAGGUUUUUCGCUCUAAGAUGAGUCCGCGUAAGAUUAGCUAGUUGGUGAGGUAACGGCUCACCAAGGCGACGAUCUUUAACUGGUCUGAGAGGAUGAUCAGUCACACUGGAACUGAGACACGGUCCAGACUCCUACGGGGGGCAGCAGUAGGGAAUAUUGCACAAUGGAGGAAACUCUGAUGCAGCGACGCCGCGUGAGUGAUGAAGGCCUUCGGGUCGUAAAGCUCUGUCGCAGGGGAAUAACACAAUGAAGGUACCCUGUAAGAAAGGAUCGGCUAACUUCGUGCCAGCCGCCGCGGUAACAC